UACGAAGGGGGCUAGCGUUGCUCGGAAUCACUGGGCGUAAAGGGUGCGUAGGCGGGGCUUUAAGGCAGGGGUGAAAUCCUGGAGCUCAACUCCAGAACUGCCUUUGAUACUGAAGAUCUUGAGUUCGGGAGAGGUGAGUGGAACUGCGAGUGUAGAGGUGAAAUUCGUAGAUAUUCGCAAGAACACCAGUGGCGAAGGCGGCUCACUGGCCCGAUACUGACGCUGAGGCACGAAAGCGUGGGGAGCGAACAGG
rnacentral:rRNA from 1 species